rnacentral:lncRNA from 1 species
CCCCACUGUUUACCAAUGUUCUAAACUACAAACAGGACACACGUUCUUCUCAAGACACCCGAUAUCACUCUCCAUAUAAGGAAACAAUUUGUACUUCUUACAUUGAAGGUGUUCCUUGUUUGUAUACGAUUUCCGUUUUUGUUUGUUCAUCUUAAAGAGAGGCGGGAGAUAUCAGAGGGAUAUUAAAACUCAUAAAUCGAAAAUAAGCUUACAACGCCAAGCCCAUGGUUAAAAAAGAAAAAUACAAACAAUAGUACACAAAAUACAAAAUAGCAAAAUAAAGACUAAGCAACACGAACCCCACCAAAAACUGAGGGUGAUCUCAAGGUGCUUCGGAAGGGUAACUAAACCCUGCUCCACAUAUGACAUGACCUCUAAGACGUUAAACAGUGGCUGCAGACACAGCGGGAUAUAUUCAAAACUGAUAAGUAAAAGAAACCGCGAACACUGUUAUGCUAAAAAACAAAUAACGACAAAUCAAAACCCGAACGAGUCCAUAAAUUGAAAAUUGAAGAUUGAGCAUCAUGCUAAAAGGUAACAAUAAGGAUGUACGAAGCAGGAUUUAUCAAAUCCCAUGAAAUUAAAUUUUCCAUUAAAUAUCUAAACGGCUGUAAAAAUUGAAAAAAAAACUGUUUGAAUUAGUGGCAUGACAGUUAUUGCUAAUAGUUUGUUUCCUUUGAAGAUAAAGCCAAG